rnacentral:rRNA from 1 species
GUCUGCAACUCGACUACAUGAAGCUGGAAUCGCUAGUAAUCGCGGAUCAGAAUGCCGCGGUGAAUACGUUCCCGGGUCUUGUACACACCGCCCGUCACACCAUGGGAGUCAGUAACGCCCGAAGCCGGUGACCUAACCGAAAGGGAGGAGCCGUCGAAGGUGGGACCGAUAACUGGGGUGAAGUCGUAACAAGGUAGC